GACGAACGCUGGCGGCGGGCUUAACACAUGCAAGUCGAACGGAAAGGCCCUGCUUGUGUGGGGUGCUAGAGUGGCGAACGGGUGAGUAACACGUGAGUAACCUGCCCUUGACUUUGGGAUAACUUCAGGCAACUGGGGCUAAUACCGGAUAGGAGCUCCUGCUGCAUGGUGGGGGUUGGAAAGUUUCGGCGGUUGGGGAUGGACUCGCGGCUUAUCAGCUUGUUGGGUGGGUAGUGGCUUACCAAGGCUUUGACGGGUAGCCGGCCUGAGAGGGUGACCGGCCACAUUGGGACUGAGAUACGGCCCAGACUCCUACGGGAGGCAGCAGUGGGGAAUAUUGCACAAUGGGCGGAAGCCUGAUGCAGCAACGCCGCGUGCGGGAUGCCGGCCUUCGGGUUGGAAACCGCUUUCGCCUGUGACGAAGCGUGAGUGACGGUAAUGGGUAAAGAAGCACCGGCUAACUACGUG
rnacentral:rRNA from 1 species